AGCAAGUGUGGAUGGGGCUUGCU
rnacentral:piRNA from 1 species